CACCUGCCUAGCACGCACCAAAAUUCCAGACUUUCAGGAAAACAGGUGCCUGUGCCACAUUAUUUGCACGGAGAGACUGUGUCCAGUGAACGGUUCUGAUCAGUAAACUGUUGACUAGGAACAUCCCGAGAGCCAAGUUCCCAGAUGCCAGCCAAGGGCCAUCUGACCUGUUUUGAAUCUCAAUUUCCUGAUACAGAAAACAAAGGUAGGGCAUAAUUGAUUUUUACAGACGUGACCCCAUGAUCCUGCUCUCUAGUCCCCAGAUUUUUCCAGGGCUUUUGUCAGAGGUGUUUCCCCUUUGAUUCCCCUUGGUGGUUAGGUUUUAUGGGAUUUUACAGGACAGAUGGCAGCUGCAGGAGUCUUGUACUGUCCCUGACUUGGGUCAUCCCACAGGCCCUGGCACCAUCCUCCUGCCCUUCCUGGCUCUCCUGUCUGUUUCUGCUCCUGCAUCCGAAAGUGAUCAUAGGCUGCCUGUGCCUAGGUCAUUGAUAGUGCAGGGAGAGGAACGCUGAAAGAGGUUGUCCCCGUGUUUGGAGGGUCCACCCUAUCCCAUCCGAACCCUGAAGCUUUCACACAACUCCUGUUGCUCUCCUGCCAGCCCUUGAGGAGUCCGGCGCUUGCUUGGCUGCCACAUGAAAGAUUGUCAGCUGACCUCUGUCCUGUGUGCCCAGUGGCCCCAGGUGACGUGUCUUCAAGAAGAGGCUGAGCUGCGGUGCUUGUAAGAGUCAUGUGCUGUUCCUGGGGCUUGGAUGAUGUAGGGGAAGCAAGGUGAAAGUGGUAUCCCGUGGUUCCACGUUCUGUCCUGCUGUGGGGCUGUCCCUCACAUGCUUUCAGUGGCUGUUGCAGAGGAAGAGCCUCCGGAAAUCUGCGUGGGUCUCAGCCUUAGAUCCAAGGACAGUCCAAGGAAGUCCUAAGACCAUGGAGUUGGUGAUCUGGGAUCUGGGUUUGCUGAUAUUUCUCACCGUGAAUCUCUUGGUGGUGUUUGUGGGCACGAGAGGGGCAGAGAAUGGAGAGUGAGGCUACCACAUGAAGCGUCACCAGAGCUGCUCCCUGCUGCCUGCUCAGAGCACCCCGGAUCCACUGUUCAAUCUGCACAAGAUUCGGGGUCCAGACAUGGGAGACUUCAGCUGCCUCAGAGGACCGUGGACAGGGAAGGCCAGCCUCGCAUCCCUCUGUCCAUGCCUGGAAUGACUUUAAUAACCAAGAGUUUUAUUUUUGAAUUUGUAGCUGUCGUUCACUUUUUACCCACCCAUUCAAUAAACCUUACAGAAUUGCUCCA
rnacentral:lncRNA from 1 species